rnacentral:rRNA from 1 species
UACGAAGGGGGCUAGCGUUACUCGGAUUGACUGGGCGUAAAGGGCGCGUAGGCGGCUUGUACAGUCAGGCGUGAAAUUCCUGGGCUCAACCUGGGGGCUGCGUUUGAUACGUGCGGGCUUGAGUUCGGAAGAGGGUCGUGGAAUUCCCAGUGUAGAGGUGAAAUUCGUAGAUAUUGGGAAGAACACCGGUGGCGAAGGCGGCGACCUGGUCCGAUACUGACGCUGAGGCGCGAAAGCGUGGGGAGCGAACAGG